GACGAACGCUGGCGGCGUGCCUAAUACAUGCAAGUCGUGCGGACCUUGUUGAAAGCUUGCUUUUAAAAGGUUAGCGGCGGACGGGUGAGUAACACGUGGGCAACCUGCCUGUAAGACUGGGAUAACGCCGGGAAACCGGGGCUAAUACCAGAUCGUUUUUUCCUCCGCAUGGAGGAAAAAGGAAAGGCGGCUUCGGCUGCCACUUACAGAUGGGCCCGCGGCGCAUUAGCUAGUUGGCGGGGUAAUGGCCCACCAAGGCAACGAUGCGUAGCCGACCUGAGAGGGUGAUCGGCCACAUUGGGACUGAGACACGGCCCAAACUCCUACGGGAGGCAGCAGUAGGGAAUCUUCCGCAAUGGACGAAAGUCUGACGGAGCAACGCCGCGUGAGUGAAGAAGGCCUUCGGGUCGUAAAACUCUGUUGCCGGGGAAGAGCAAGUGCCGUUCGAACAGGGCGGCGCCUUGACGGUACCCGGCCAGAAAGCCACGGCUAACUACGUG
rnacentral:rRNA from 1 species